ensembl:misc_RNA Metazoa_SRP Metazoan signal recognition particle RNA
GCUGAGAGCUGAGGCAGGAAGGAUCACUUGAACCCAGGAGCUGUGGGCUGCAGUGUGCUAUACUAUUCGGGUGUCUGCACUAAGUUCGCCAUCAAUAUGGUGACUUCCCAAGAGUGAGGGGCCACCAGGUUGCCUAAGGAGGGGUGAACUGGCCCAAGUCAGAAACUGAGCAGGUCAAAACUCCCGUGCAGCGCUGGGCGCAGUAGCUUACACCUGUAAUCCCAGCACUUU